rnacentral:tRNA from 1 species
GGUGAGGUGUCCGAGUGGCUGAAGGAGCACGCCUGGAAAGUGUGGUAUACGGCAACGUAUCGGGGGUUCGAAUCCCCCCCUCACCGCCA